GCCCCACAAGACCAAGCGAGGCCAGGCUUCUCUGGACCGCCUCAAGGUGUUUGACCGCAUCCCACCGCCCUACGACAAGAAAAAGCGGAUGGUGUUCCUGCUCCCUCAAGGUUGUGCGUCUGAAGCCUACAAGAAAGUUUGCCUAUCUGGGGCGCCUGGCUCACGAGGUUGGCUGGAAGUACCAGGCAGUGACAGCCACCCUGGAGGAGAAGAGGAAAGAGAAAGCCAAGAUCCACUACCGGAAGAAGAAACAGCUCAUGAGGCUACGGAAACAGGCCGAGAAGAACAUGGAGAAGAAAAUUGACAAAUACACAGAGGUCCUCAAGACCCACAGACUCCUGGUCUGAGCCCAAUAAAGACUGUUAAUUCCUCAUGCGUGGCCUGCCCUUCCUCCAUCGUCGCCCUGGAAUGUACGGGACCCAGGGGCAGCAGCAGUCCAGGCGCCACAGGCAGCCUCGGACACAGGAAGCUGGGAGCAAGGAAAGGGUCUUAGUCACUGCCUCCCGAAGUUGCUUGAAAGCACUCGGAGAACUGUGCAGGUGUCAUUUAUCUAUGACCAAUAGGAAGAGCAACCAGUUACUAUUAGUGAAAGGGAGCCAGAAGACUGAUUGGAGGGCCCUAUCUUGUGAGCGGGGCGUCUGUUGGACUUUCCACCUGGUCAUAUACUCUGCAGCUGUUAGAAUGUGCAAGGACUUGGGGACAGUAUGAGCUUGCUGUUGUACACAGGGUAUUUCUAGAAGCAGAAAUAGACUGGGAAGAUGCACAACCAAGGGGUUACAGGCAUCGCCCGUGCUCACCUGUAUUUUGUAAUCAGAAAUAAAUUGCUUUUAAAGAAAAAAAUAAAAUAAAAAUGGGAGAAGCGGGAACUAGGGACUUUCCAUUUAACCACGAUGUAUGGACUCACUGAAAUUGUGCAGGAUGGAUGGAAUCCCUGCCACUAAACUCCUACACAUCAAAAACAAACGUGUAAUUCAGUAAAAUGGAAGCUGGUGAGUCUGUGCUUCCUGCCAACCCCAGGGAAGAUCCAAGUUUCUUUUGUGAUACUGUACAACUCACUGCUUCUUCAGGAGGUAUCAUCAACAGAGGUCUUGUGCACUCUGAAAAUAAGAAUGCCAGCCCAGAGUCACAGCAGGCUUUUUCUUUCCAGAAUUUCUACCUCAAGAACAGACUCAUGAGGACCACAGCGGUCUUGGGCAUUAUCUCCUCCAGUGCUCAGAUUGCACACUCAUGAGAGGUGAGCAAGCUUCCAAGAACAUCCAAUGCCGAUGCUCCAGAAAAGCCUUUAACAAAAGUCAGAGGUCCAUGGUAAGGUACCAGGUGAAAACUCCAUCAGAUGAUAUCUGUACAGAGCUAGUCAAAUCCUGCAUAGACCUGGUUGUCACAGAAGUAUAUGGAAUAAAAGGUGGUACUGUGUCCAAUACAGUCCUCCUCUAGUAUUACA
ensembl:lncRNA novel transcript